rnacentral:rRNA from 1 species
CGAACGCUGGCGGCGUGCUUAACACAUGCAAGUCGAACGCGAAAGGGACUUCGGUCCUGAGUAAAGUGGUGCACGGGUGAGUAACGCGUAGAUAACCUGUCUUUAUGUCUGGAAUAAUACGCCGAAAGGGGUACUAAUACCGGAUAUUUUUGCAUUGCAUAAGCAGUGUAAGCAGAGGUGGCCUCUGACAUAAGCUACUGCAUAAAGAGGGGUCUGCGUACCAUUAGCUAGUAGGUGGGGUAAAGGCCUACCUAGGCUACGAUGGUUAGCGGGUCUGAGAGGAUGAUCCGCCACACUGGCACUGGAACACGGGCCAGACUCCUACGGGAGGCAGCAGUGAGGAAUAUUGCGCAAUGGGGGCAACCCUGACGCAGCGACGCCGCGUGAGUGAGGAAGGCCUUCGGGUCGUAAAGCUCUGUCAAAGGGAAAGAAGUGCAUGGUGGUUAAUACCUGCCAUGUUUGACGGUACCCUUAAAGGAAGCACCGGCUAACUCCGUGCCAGCCGCUGC